GGAAACUGGGGAUAUACCCUAUAGACUAUGGAUGCUGGAAUGCUCUGUAGCCGAAAGGUCCGCCGCUGUAGGAUGGGUCUGCGGCCGAUUAGGUUGUUGUUGGGGUAACGGCCCAACAAGCCUGUAAUCGGUACAGGUUGUGGGAGCAAGAGCCCGGAGAUGGAUUCUGAGACACGAAUCCAGGCCCUACGGGGCGCAGCAGGCGCGAAAACUUUACAAUGCGGGAAACCGUGAUAAGGGAACUCUGAGUGCCCGUAAAAUCGGGCUGUCCAUCAGUUUAAAUAACUGGUGAAGAAAGGGCCGGGCAAGACCGGUGCCAGCCGCCGCGGUAAUACCGGCGGCUCGAGUGGUGGCCACUAUUACUGGGCUUAAAGCGUUCGUAGCUGGUUUGUUAAGUCUCUGGGGAAAUCUUCCGGCUUAACCGGAAGGCGUCUCAGGGAUACUGGCAGACUAGGGACCGGAAGAGGUGAGAGGUACUCCAGGGGUAGGAGUGAAAUCCUGUAAUCCUUGGGGGACCACCUGUGGCGAAGGCGUCUCACCAGAACGGCUCCGACAGUGAGGGACGAAAGCUGGGGGAGCAAACCGGAUUAGAUACCCGGGUAGUCCCAGCCGUAAACGAUGUGCAUUAGGUGUAUCGGUGACCACGAGUCACCGAGGUGCC
rnacentral:rRNA from 1 species